rnacentral:tRNA from 1 species
GAAAUAAGAAAAUCAAGAAUAAGCUUCUAACUUAACUCUUAAGCAUUGUAAUAUGUUUUUAUUUCU